rnacentral:rRNA from 1 species
GAUGAACGCUGGCGGCGUGCCUAAUACAUGCAAGUCGAGCGAACAGAUGAUGAGCUUGCUCCUCUGACGUUAGCGGCGGACGGGUGAGUAACACGUGGAUAACCUACUUAUAAGUCUGGGAUAACUUCGGGAAACCGGAGCUAAUACCGGAUAAUAUAUUGAACCGCAUGGUUCAAUAGUGAAAGACGGUUUUGCUGUCACUUAUAGAUGGUUCCGAGCUGCAUUGGCUAGUUGGUAAGUGCACGGCUUACCAAGGCAACGAUGCGUAGCCGACCUGAGAGGAGGAUCGGCCACACUGGAACUGAGACACGGUCCAGACUCCUACGGGAGGCAGCAGUAGGGAAUCUUCGGCAAUGGGCGAAAGCCUGACGCAGCAACGCCGCGUGAGUGAUGAAGGUCUUCGGAUCGUAAAGCUCUGUUAUUGGGGAAGAACAGAUGUGUAAGUAACUAUGCACGUCUUGACGGUACCUAAUCAAAAAGCAACGGCUAACUACGUG